rnacentral:rRNA from 1 species
CGGGUGAGUAACACGUGGUCAACCUUCCCUACAGUGGGGGAUAACUAGCCGAAAGGUUAGCUAAUACCGCAUAACAUCUACAAGUGGCAUCAUUUGUAGAUCAAAGGAGCAAUCCGCUGAAGGACGGGACCGCGUCCCAUUAGUUAGUUGGUGGGGUAAUGGCCUACCAAGACUCCGAUGGGUAGCUGGUUUGAGAGAGCGACCAGCCACACUGGGACUGAGAAACGGCCCAG